GCCCCCUUAGCUUAGUUGGCAGAGCACCCGCUUAGUAACUAUGGUAGUCACGCUAAGGAGCGGGAGGCCGCGAGUUCGAACCUCGCAGGUGGCU
rnacentral:tRNA from 1 species